AUAGCUAGUGUGCCUAAGGUGACCAGGACAGGAGAAAUGUCACCUACACUGCUAAAUAACAGCUACACUGUUAGCAACUGCGGUUUGCAGUGUACCCGUGGAUGUUACUGAAGAAAACCUGAUGAUUCUCCAGCUGGUCCUGGAUGCAUUUUAUCUAUGGUUUCUGAGUGGAUAUAUGGACAAAUCUAAAGCUAAAUCAACUAUAUAGGUCCUCAUAGUCUGCCUCGUUCGGGAGGUUCUCUUUGUCGUCAUCGCACUCAAUCAUUACCGUGGGAACAACGUGCAUCAUGGAGCUGAAGGAUGGUGGGAAAGCGCAAAGACGGGUGAGAAAUGAAAGGAAAAACCUGAACCCAUGACCCCCACAGUUCCCUUGGAGGAUAACAGUGCCCAAACACCACCAUCCACAGGGCAGGAGGGGUCAAGGAGUGGUUUGACGAGUGUGAACGUGAUGUGAAUCAGACGCUGCAGCCUUCCCAGUCACCAGGUCUCAGCCCAGUUGCACAGCUAUGAGAGAUGUUGGAGCGACGUGUUGGAC